rnacentral:rRNA from 1 species
AUUGAACGCUGGCGGCAGGCCUAACACAUGCAAGUCGAACGAGUGGCGGAGGUGUGAGUAAUGUCUGGGAAACUGCCUGAUGGAGGGGGAUAAAUACUGGAAACGGUAGCUAAUACCGCAUACCAACGGAUGUGCACAGAUGGGAUUCGCAUGUGGGUGGGGUAAAGGCUCACCAAGGCGACGAUCCCUAGCUGGUCUGAGCGGAUGACCAGCCACACUGGAACUGAGACACUGUCCAGACUCCUACGGGAGGCAGCAGUGGGGAAUAUUGCACAAUGGGCGCAAGCCUGAUGCAGCCAUGCCGCGUGUAUGAAUAAGGCCUUCGGGUUGUAAAGUACUUUCAGCGGGGAGGCGUUACCCGCAGAAGAAGCACCGGCUAACUCCGUGCCAGCAGCCGCGGUAAUAC